UACGAAGGGAGCAAGCGUUGUCCGGAAUUACUGGGCGUAAAGCGCCUGUAGGCGGGAACGUGCGUCGGACGUGAAAGGCGGGGGCUUAACCCCCGAGCGGCGUUCGAAACGGCGUUUCUUGAGGGUCGAAGAGGAGCGUGGAAUUCCUGGUGUAGCGGUGAAAUGCGUAGAGAUCAGGAGGAACACCCAUGGCGAAGGCAGCGCUCUGGUCGGCAUCUGACGCUGAGAGGCGAAAGCGUGGGGAGCGAACGGG
rnacentral:rRNA from 1 species